GAAAUGCGAUAAGUAAUGUGAAUUGCAGAAUUCAGUGAAUCAUCGAAUCUUUGAACGCACCUUGCGCUCCUUGGUAUUCCUUGGAGCAUGCCUGUUUGAGUAUCAUGAAAUCUUCAAAGUAAUCUUUUGUUAACUCAAUUGGUUUCUACUUUGGUAUUGGAGGUCUUUGCAGCUUCACACCUGCUCCUCUUUGUUCAUUAGCUGGAUCUCAGUGUUAUGCUUGGUUCCACUCGGCGUGAUAAGUUAUCUAUCGCUGAGGACACUGUAAAAGGUGGCCAAGGUAAAUGCAGAUGAACCGCUUCUAAUAGUCCAUUGACUUGGACAAUACUUGUAUGAUCUGAUCUCAAAUCAGGUAGGACUACCCGCUGAACUUAAGC
rnacentral:misc_RNA from 1 species